CCCCAGGGGCUGCAGGGGUCAGCUGUGGUCACCUGGCUGCUCGUCUCUAUGGAUCUCUGACUGGCACUGGCCUGGGUCAGUCUUCACUGAAUCAUUGAAGGGUUUGGGUUGGAAGAGACCUCAAAGAUCACCUAGUCCCCUUGCCAUGUGCAGAGACACCUUCCACUAGAUCAGGAUCCUUCCUUGGGGUAUCUACUUUCUCUAUGGGUUUCUCCCAGGUAAAAUUAAAUCCAUUUGGCAAUUCCAUAACUAACUUUUCUCUGUCAACCUCUCUCAACCCAGUAAGGCUUUGUCAGAACCCACAGGACUGGAGGGACCUUUAAAAAUGCUGUGAUUGCCCUGAACUUGUAUCCUAGGCUUUGGGAGGAAGGAAAGGAUCACUUUCUGCAUUAAGAGCUGGGUGGAAUUCCCUGGAUUUGGAACUGAUGGUCAGGGGACACAGUUCUACUUCAGCAACUGGUGGCUUGACAAACAGAAUCUGGACAAUCU
rnacentral:lncRNA from 1 species